rnacentral:misc_RNA from 1 species
GAUGAAGAACGUAGAGAAAUGCGAUACUUGGUGUGAAUUGCAGAAUCCCGUGAACCAUCGAGUCUUUGAACGCAAGUUGCGCCUCAAGCCAUUAGGUUGAGGGCACGUCUGCCUGGGCGUCACAUAUCGUUGCCUGAUGCCAGUUUCCUCGUGAUGGGUGACUGUGCAGGGCGAAUGAUGGCUUCCCGUGAGCAUUGUUGCCUCAUGGUUGGUUGAAAAUUGAGUCCUUGGUAGGGAGCGCCGUGAUAGAUGGUGGUUGAGUGACGAACGAGACCCAAUCAUGUGAGACCCCUACCGAAUUUGGCCUUCAUGACCCACAUGCGUCUUUGGAACGCUCAUGACGAGACCUCAGGUCAGGCGGGGCUACCCGCUGAGUUUAAGCAUAUCAAUAAGCGGAGGA